AAAAACAUGUCCUUUUGAUUAUAAUUUAAGGUCUAAUCUGCUCAAUGAGGAUUUAAAUUGCCGCGGUAUUUUGACCGUGCAAAGGUAGCAUAAUAAUUAGUUUUUUUAUUGAAAGCUGGAAUGAAUGAUUGGACGAGAGAGUAGCUGUCUCUAUUAAAUUUAUUUUUGAAUUUAACUUUUGAGUAAAAAGGCUCAAAUUUUAUUUAAAGACGAGAAGACCCUAUAGAGUUUAAUAUUUUAUUUAUUAAGAGGUUUUUGGUCAUUGAUCUCUUUUAUUAAAUGAUUUAUUUAGUUGGGGUGACUAAAAGAUUAGGUAAACUCUUUUAAAAAUUAUUAGUUAAUCAUUGAUUUAUGAUUAUAGAAUCUAGUUUUUCUAAAUAUAAGAUAAAUUACCUUAGGGAUAACAGCGUAAUUUUUCUUUAGAGUUCUUAUUGUAAGAAAAGUUUGCGACCUCGAUGUUGGAUUAAAAUUAGUUUUUGGUGCAGAAGCUGAAAAAUUAGGUCUGUUCGACCUUUAAAUUUUUACAUGAUCUGA
rnacentral:rRNA from 1 species